rnacentral:snRNA from 1 species
UUACUGACCUGUCAGACGCUUCACCCAGAGCCAGACUCAGUCAUUUCACUGAGGUUGUGCUGACCCCUGCAAAUUCCCCAAAUGUGGAAAUACUGACUGAAUAAUUUCUGCUGGUGGGGGACCAUGUUGGUGAACUUCCCUG